CACGGGUGCGUAACACGUAUGUAACCUACCUUUGUCAGGGGGAUAGCCUCUCGAAAGAGAGAUUAAGCCCGCAUAACAUGAAGAUGUGGCAUCACAAUUUCAUCAAAUAUUUAUAGGACAAAGGUGGGCAUGCGGAACAUUAGCUAGUUGGUAAGGUAACGGCUUACCAAGGCUACGAUGUUUAGGGGAUCUGAGAGGAUGACCCCCCACACUGGUACUGAGACACGGACCAGACUCCUACGGGAGGCAGCAGUAAGGAAUAUUGGUCAAUGGGCGGAAGCCUGAACCAGCCAUGCCGCGUGCAGGAAGACGGCCCUACGGGUUGUAAACUGCUUUUAUACGGGAAUAAACCUGAUUAUGUAUAAUCAGCUGAAUGUACUGUAAGAAUAAGGAUCGGCUAACUCCGUGCCAGCAGCCGCGGUAAUACGGAGGAUCCGAGCGUUAUCCGGAUUUAUUGGGUCUAAAGGGUGCGUAGGUGGCUUUUUAAGUCAGGGGUGAAAGACGGUAGCUUAACUAUCGCAGUGCCUUUGAUACUGAAGAGCUUGAAUGAACUAGAGGUAGGCGGAAUGUGACAAGUAGCGGUGAAAUGCAUAGAUAUGUCACAGAACACCAAUUGCGAAGGCAGCUUACUAUGGUUUUAUUGACACUGAGGCACGAAAGCGUGGGGAUCAAACAGGAUUAGAUACCCUGGUAGUCCACGCCCUAAACGAUGAACACUCGAUGUUGGCGAUAUACGGUCAGCGUCUAAGCGAAAGCGUUAAGUGUUCCACCUGGGGAGUACGCCCGCAAGGGUGAAACUCAAAGGAAUUGACGGGGGCC
rnacentral:rRNA from 1 species